rnacentral:rRNA from 1 species
GACGAACGCUGGCGGCGUGCUUAACACAUGCAAGUCGAACGGAAAGGCCCUGCUUUUGUGGGGUGCUCGAGUGGCGAACGGGUGAGUAACACGCGAGUAACCUGCCCUUGACUUUGGGAUAACUUCAGGAAACUGGGGCUAAUACCGGAUAGGAGAUCCUGAUGCAUGGUGGGGGUUGGAAAGUUUCGGCGGUGGUGGAUGGAUUCGCGGCUUAUCAGCUUGUUGGUGGGGUAGUGGCUUACCAAGGCUUUGACGGGUAGCCGGCCUGAGAGGGUGACCGGCCUCCUUGGGCCUGCGAUACGGCCCAGUCUCCUACGGGAGGCAGCAGUCGGGAACCUUGCACAAUGGGCGGAAGCCUGAUGCAGCAACGCCGCGUGCGGGAUGACGGCCUUCGGGUUGUAAACCGCUUUCGCCUGUGACGAAGCGUGAGUGACGGUAAUGGGUAAAGAAGCACCGGCUAACUACGUG